AGUGAACGCUGGCGGUAGGCCUAACACAUGCAAGUCGAACGGCAGCACAGUAAGAGCUUGCUCUUACGGGUGGCGAGUGGCGGACGGGUGAGGAAUACAUCGGAAUCUACUUUUUCGUGGGGGAUAACGUAGGGAAACUUACGCUAAUACCGCAUACGACCUACGGGUGAAAGCAGGGGAUCUUCGGACCUUGCGCGAUUGAAAGAGCCGAUGUCGGAUUAGCUAGUUGGCGGGGUAAAGGCCCACCAAGGCGACGAUCCGUAGCUAGUCUGAGAGGAUGAUCAGCCACACUGGAACUGAGACACGGUCCAGACUCCUACGGGAGGCAGCAGUGGGGAAUAUUGGACAAUGGGCGCAAGCCUGAUCCAGCCAUACCGCGUGGGUGAAGAAGGCCUUCGGGUUGUAAAGCCCUUUUGUUGGGAAAGAAAAGCAGCAGGUUAAUACCCUGCUGUUCUGACGGUACCCAAAGAAUAAGCACCGGCUAACUUCGUG
rnacentral:rRNA from 1 species